rnacentral:rRNA from 1 species
AGCUUCAGUAGCGUAUAUUAAAGUUGUUGCAGUUAAAAAGCUCGUAGUCGCAUUUCUGGCGAGAGGAUCCGGUCCGACCUUUUGGUGGGUUCUUGGGUCUCUUUCGCCAUCCUUGAGUGGUCCGUUCUGGCAUUAGGUUGUCGGAGCGUCAGCCGCUCAUCGUUUACUGUGAGAAAAUUAGAGUGUUCAAAGCAGGCUUAUGCCGUUGAAUAUAUUAGCAUGGAAUAAUAAGAUAGGACCUCGGUACUAUUUUGUUGGUUUGCGCACCAAGGUAAUGAUGAACAGGGACGGUUGGGGAUAUUUGUAUUUCGUUGUCAGAGGUGAAAUUCUUAGAUUUACGAAAGACAAACUACUGCGAAAGCAUUUACCAAGGAUGUUUUCA